CACCCUUACACAGACAUACGCCUAGGCAAAACACCAACACACACAAAAUAAAAUAAAAAAAGCAAAACAGAAGGGCCUAGGCCUGGCCCAGGAUGAUGUGGUAGAUGAUGUGGUAGACUUUGGGGAGCCCCUUUUGAGGGCCUUACCCUGUCUGGGGAGUGGAGGGGGGGAUGGCUAGGGGCAGGUGGGAUGUUGGGGGGGAGGGGAGGAAGAGGGAGAGGGAGAGGGAGAAAGGAUUGACAUCUGAAGCAAGCAUGUUCCUAAUUUGAACUAAUUAAAUUAAAUUAAAAAAAAAGCAAAACAAAAAGCAGAGUUUGUGUCAAGUCAGGCAAGGGUGUGGCUGCUGGCCAGAGACCCAGGUGUCACUGACACCUUGCUCUGGGAACUCCCAGCACCUCUUCCCAGGUGUCAGAUGCUGGUUUGUUUGUGUUGUCCACAGUGAAAGCUCAUUGGAGGGGCUCACAGUUGAGAAGGUCCCAGCCCUGUGGCUGGGAUUUCCCCUCUCUGCCUUGAGUUUCCUUGAUCUGAUUAUCUUGGGCUUGUCUUGCUGGGUGACUCAGGCGCUUGAGCAAGUUUAGGUACUAGGUUUCACAGCUCUGGGGGUGGGGAAACCUGGUCUCUCCUGGGAAAUAGUCAUUAGAUAUUGACAAAAGCAUCACUGUCAGGCUCCAGCUUCAGAAAAAGACUCUCCAAGCCUUGAUUCUUAUCAAAUAAAGUAACAAUACCAUCAUCUAGUGCAGGACUUCUCACCCUGGGGUCCACCACACACACACACACACACACACACACACACACACACACACACACACACAGGCUGCAUAUCAGAUGUCCUGCCUAUCAGUUAUCUACAUUAAGAUUCAUAACAGUAGCUAAAUUGCAGUUAUGAAAUAGCAGCAAAAUGAGUUUAUGGACGAAGGUGAGAGUCUGUCAGAUGAAAUCGCUUGCCUGGGGCAGCUAGCAAAUAACUUCCCACAUCCCAUGUCCGGAACCACUAUGCGCCCUGCUCUUCUAAGAAUGUCUCCAGGAGACCCAGCCAAGACUACGGCUGAGGACCAAGUGUCCCCUUCCAAGAAGCUGCUUUUCCGCUAGUUGGGCUGACAGGGAAGAGAUGCGCCUCUAAGCUGCUUCUGAGGCGCCCAUCACUGGAAGACCCCUUGUGGUAGCCUCCUCUACACAGCUUAGAUAAAGAGUCUAUUAGCUUCCCCAGAGCGGGUUCUGGAAGCUGGAUCUGGCACGAAGCAGAAGUCAGCCCCUCAGCGGUGCCUCUUCCUUCAGCCUACCAUCCUCGCCCCUCCCACUGGAUUCCCGACACUGGAUUUCUCUCGCCAGCGUCCCUGAGCCCAGGGCACAGGAUCAUUUCUUCCUAAACUGUCCCUGGAGCCAGGGCAGUUAUGCAUCCUGCCCGCCACUGUUGUCAGUGCACACUUGCAGAGGUUUCUGUGGAAUUCAGGCUUCAGUAAACACUUGAGAAGGAGGAAGUGGGCCAAGAAAUCCGAGGACGAUUGCAUCAGGACUGGCGCACACUGCCCUUUCCCAUCUCCGUCUCUGAGAAGCCCUCCCUCUUUGUCCUGGAGGGGCGGGGAGGCAAUUAAGGCCUUGGACCAUCCCCUGGCCUUCUCUGGGCCCCCUGGUCUAGGGGAGAGGCUAAUGCUGGUGCCUUGGCCAGUGAGGUCUAGUAGAGGAACGGAGAAACAAGGAGCCAAGGAAGCAGGCAGAGGAGAUCAGGAUCCUGUCCCCUCUUCUCUUCUUCCAUUUUACAGAAGCCGGGGAGAAAUAUGAAAACUCAACUGUGCCCUGCACCAGCCUCCGCCCCCAAGUUAAGGAACACAAAAGAGAAAUGCCAGGAGACGUGAGCAUUCCCUUCAGAGCCGCCGCUGGUCAUGAAACCCCAUCAUCACUUAAAUCGCCCUAUUUUAAAGGAUCUGUUGCAAAGGAUUUGGCUUGAAGAUUCUAAACUCUAUUUAGCUCCAGGCCUUAAUCACUGCGGAGCUGAGAAUUUUAUAAUCACAAAGAUGGAAGAAUCCUAGAGGUCAAGUGGCUCAGAGAUUCUCCAAUGUUUAGACUUUAUCAAAAUUUAAAGUUUGGAAAAUGAAGAGGGAGAUGUCUAAGAGCUUUUAAGUCUGGAAAAACACAACUAUCAAAUAAACGCAACUAUCUUGUGUGGCAACUGUCACUUUACAUUUGUAGACUCAAACAGGAGGAUGGUUACAUUUUUACAUUAGUGAGGCGGCCUUAAACAGAAGAAAUUCAACACACACGUACACACUUUGAGCAGGGACAUGGUGGCACAUGCCUGUAAUCCCCAGCACUUGGAAGGUGGAAGCAGAAGAAUCAGGCACUCAAAGUCAUCCUCAGUGACACAAUAAGUUCAAGGCCAACUUGGCUUUAUGAGAUGAAAAAAAUUCACCACUAUUGGUAUUUUUCUUAUUUCAUGCAUUAGCUCCAGACAGAGGGUGAACAUUUGAAAACUACUGACCUGUUUACUGUUCAUUUGUUUUCAAGACAAGCUUUCUCUGCAUGGCCCUGGCUAUUAUGAAACUCUGUAGACCAGGCUGGCCUCAAACUCACAGAGGUCCACCUGCCUCUGCCUCCCGAGUGCUGGGACUAAAGGCGUGUGUCACCACCACCCAGUUUACAUAUUUUUAUUUAUGUAUAUUUGUUAUGUCUGUAUGAGUGCAUUCACAUUGUGCAGAUGCCCUUGAAGGCCAAGAGAGCAUCGGAUCCCCAGCUGACAUAGGUUCUGGGAACCAAAUUUGGGUCCUCUCGAAGAGCAGCACAUACUUUAAAUCCUUGCCCUGUUUCUCC
rnacentral:lncRNA from 1 species